UCUGCCCCUUGAGGCGUUGCAGUCCGACUGUCGAGUGUCGAGCCUGUGUCAUAAGGGGCGUAGAUUAACAGGGCCAUGUCUACGCUGAGGACUUAGAACAGUGGGUUCUUGGAGUGAUUGAUGGCUCCGACAAC